AUGCUCGAGGUCCUGGUGAGCGCAGGCGGGGAGAUGUUGUCGCCUUCGGAGGUGAUUGCGCGGCUGCCAUCCAAGGCGGCCAAUCCGGACGCGCCGGCCAUGGUGGACCGCAUACUGCGGCUGCUGGCGUCGUACAACGUAGUGUUGUGUGAGGUCGACGAAGGUGAGGACGGCCUCUUCGCCCGCCGGUACGGCUCCGCACCAGUGUGCAAGUGGCUCACCCCCAACGAGGACGGUGUCUCCAUUGCCGCGCUAGUCCUGAUGAUCCAGGACAAGGUCAAUAUGGAGGGCUGGUGA
rnacentral:rRNA from 1 species